rnacentral:rRNA from 1 species
GAUGAACGCUGGCGGCGUGCCUAAUACAUGCAAGUCGAGCGAACAGACGAGGAGCUUGCUCCUCUGACGUUAGCGGCGGACGGGUGAGUAACACGUGGAUAACCUACCUAUAAGACUGGGAUAACUUCGGGAAACCGGAGCUAAUACCGGAUAAUAUAUUGAACCGCAUGGUUCAAUAGUGAAAGACGGUUUUGCUGUCACUUAUAGAUGGAUCCGCGCCGCAUUAGCUAGUUGGUAAGGUAACGGCUUACCAAGGCAACGAUGCGUAGCCGACCUGAGAGGGUGAUCGGCCACACUGGAACUGAGACACGGUCCAGACUCCUACGGGAGGCAGCAGUAGGGAAUCUUCCGCAAUGGGCGAAAGCCUGACGGAGCAACGCCGCGUGAGUGAUGAAGGUCUUCGGAUCGUAAAACUCUAUUAUUAGGGAAGAACAAAUGUGUAAGUAACUAUGCACGUCUUGACGGUACCUAAUCAGAAAGCCACGGCUAACUACGU